GUGGGGAAUAUUGCGCAAUGGGCGAAAGCCUGACGUAGCGACGCCGCGUGAGGGAUGAAGGUUUUCGGAUCGUAAACCUCUGUCAGAAGGGAAGAAACUACAUUGUGCUAAUCAGCAGUGUACUGACGGUACCUUCAAAGGAAGCACCGGCUAACUCCGUGCCAGCAGCCGCGGUAAUACGGAGGGUGCAAGCGUUAAUCGGAAUUACUGGGCGUAAAGCGCACGUAGGCUGUAGUGUAAGUCAGGGGUGAAAUCCCACGGCUCAACCGUGGAACUGCCUUUGAUACUGCACAACUUGAAUCCGGGAGAGGGUGGCGGAAUUCCAGGUGUAGGAGUGAAAUCCGUAGAUAUCCGGAGGAACACCGGUGGCGAAGGCGGCCACCUGGACAGGUACUGACGCUGAGGCGCGAAAGCGUGGGGAGCAAACAGGAUUAGAUACCCUUGUAGUCC
rnacentral:rRNA from 1 species